rnacentral:rRNA from 1 species
AGAGUUUGAUCGUGGCUCAGGAUGAACGCUAGCGGCGCGCUUAAUGCAUGCAAGUCGAGCGAUGAGGCUCCUUCGGGAGUACAUCAGCGGCAGACGGGUGAGUAACACGUAGGUGACCUACCCUCAAGACGGGGAUAACGAGUGGAAACAUUUGCUAAUACCCGAUGACCUUACUAGGUCGAAGUAGUAAGGAAAGCUCCGGUGCUUGAGGAGGGGCCUGCGGCCCAUCAGCUAGUUGGUGAGGUAACGGCUCACCAAGGCAAAGACGGGUAGGGGGUGUGAGAGCAUGACCCCCCACAAUGGGACUGCGACACGGCCCAUACUCCUACGGGAGGCAGCAGCAGGGAAUCUUGCACAAUGGACGGAAGUCUGAUGCAGCGACGCCGCGUGAGUGAAGACGGCCUUCGGGUUGUAAAACUCUUUUGAGGGGGAAGAGCGAGGACUGUACCCUUCGAAUAAGCGUCGGCUAACUACGUGCCAGCAGCCGCGGUAAGACGUAGGACGCAAGCGUUAUCCGGAUUUACUGGGCGUAAAGCGUCUGUAGGCGGGUGUGUAAGUUGGAUGUGAAAGCUCCAUGCUCAACGUGGAGAGGCCAUACAAUACUGCACGCCUAGAGGGGGUCAGAGGAGUGUGGAAUUUCCGGUGUAGCGGUAAAAUGCGCAGAUAUCGGAAGGAACACCAGUGGCGAAGGCGGCACUCUGGGGCCCACCUGACGCUGAGAGACGAAAGCUAGGGGAGCGAACAGGAUUAGAGACCCUGGUAGUCCUAGCCCUAAACGCUGAAUGCUAGGUGUGGGGGCGUAGAGCCUCUGUGCCGGAGCUAACGCGAUAAGCAUUCCGCCUGGGGAGUACGGCCGCAAGGUUAAAACUCAAACGAAUUGACGGGACCCCGCACAAGCAGCGGAGCGUGUGGUUUAAUUCGAUCUACACGAAGAACCUUACCUGGGUUUGACAUAUAGGUGGUAGGAAGCCGAAAGGCGACUGACCCUUCGGGGAGCUUAUACAGGUGCUGCAUGGCUGUCGUCAGCUCGUGCCGUGAGGUGUCGGGUUAAGUCCCGUAACGAGCGCAACCCUUGCCCUUAGUUAUACGUGUCUAAGGGGACUGCCGGCGGGAAGCCGGAGGAAGGUGGGGAUGACGUCAAGUCAGCAUGGCCCUUAUAUCCAGGGUUACACACACGCUACAAUGGGCGGUACAGAGGGCAGCGAAGUCGCGAGGCGGAGCGAAUCCUAGAAAGCCGUUCGUAGUUCGAAUAGCAGGCUGCAACUCGCCUGCUUGAAGCUGGAGUUGCUAGUAACCGCGCGUCAGCUAUAGUGCGGUGAAUACGUUCCCGGGGUUUGUACACACCGCCCGUCACGUCAUGGGAGUUGGUAACGCCUGAAGCCGGUAGCUUAACGUUAACGCGGGAGCGCUGUCGAGGGCGGGACUGGCAACCGGGACGAAGUCGUAG